CUACCCUUGACAUGUCAAGAAUUUUGCAGAGAUGUGAAAGUGCUCGAAAGAGAACUUGAACACAGGUGCUGCAUGGCCGUCGUCAGCUCGUGUCGUGAGAUGUUGGGUUAAGUCCCGCAACGAGCGCAACCCUUGUCAUUAGUUGCUACCGCAAGGAGCACUCUAAUGAGACUGCCGGUGACAAACCGGAGGAAGGUGGGGAUGACGUCAGGUCCUCAUGGCCCUUAUGGGUAGGGCUACACACGUCAUACAAUGGCCGGUACAGAGGGCUGCCAACCCGCGAGGGGGAGCCAAUCCCAGAAAACCGGUCGUAGUCCGGAUCGUAGUCUGCAACUCGACUGCGUGAAGUCGGAAUCGCUAGUAAUCGCGGAUCAGCUUGCCGCGGUGAAUACGUUCC
rnacentral:rRNA from 1 species